GUGCUCACUUAGGCAGCACAUAUACUAAAACUGGAACAAUACAGAGAAGGUUAGCAUGACCCUUGCACAAGGAUGACAUGCAAAUUCGUGAAGUAUUCCAUAUUAUU
rnacentral:snRNA from 1 species